CCUACGGGAGGCAGCAGUGAGGAAUAUUGGUCAAUGGACGAGAGUCUGAACCAGCCAAGUAGCGUGAAGGAUGACUGCCCUAUGGGUUGUACACUUCUUUUAUAAGGGAAUAAAACGAGGCACGUGUGCCUUUUUGCAUGUACUUUAUGAAUAAGGCUCGGCUAACUCCGUGCCAGCAGCCGCGGUAAUACGGAGGAUCCGAGCGUUAUCCGGAUUUUUUGGGUUUAAAGGGAGCGUAGAUGGGUUGUUAAGUCAGUUGUGAAAGUUUGCGUCUCAACAGUAAAAUUGCAAUUGAUACUGGCAGUCUUGAGUACAGUUGAGGGAGGCGGAAUUCGUGGUGUAGCGGUGAAAUGCUGAGAUAUCACGCAGAACUCCGAUUGCGAAGGCAGCUUACUAAACUGUCACUGACAUUGAUGCUCGAAAGUGUGGGUAUCAAACAGGAUUAGAUACCCUAGUAGUC
rnacentral:rRNA from 1 species